GUACUGAUGAAGAGUUCCAAAUAAGGAUGAAACAACUGUCCAGUAC
rnacentral:hammerhead_ribozyme from 1 species